UACGUAGGGGGCAAGCGUUAUCCGGAUUUACUGGGUGUAAAGGGAGCGUAGGCGGCAAGGUAAGCCAGAAGUGAAAGCCCGUGGCUCAACUGCGGGACUGCUUUUGGAACUAUCUAGCUAGAUUGCAGGAGAGGUAAGUGGAAUUCCUAGUGUAGCGGUGAAAUGCGUAGGUAUUGGGAGGAACACCAGUGGCGAAGGCGGCUUACUGGACUGUAAAUGACGCUGAGGCUCGAAAGUGUGGGGAGCAAACAGG
rnacentral:rRNA from 1 species